AAGCAUGUUGCAACCCCGGGCUUCUCUGAAUAACCAAUGAUGUGAAAGCCCCAUUGCACAUGCAAAAUCGAUACCAUUCGUGUUGCAGUUCAUUUCACUAAAUUCCACGAUAGAUCUGUGUCAAAGUAAUGGUAACAUAG